GUCGGCAGACAGGGUGCGUGCUCUCUUCUGCUCCCCCAGCUACCGGCGGCGCUGGUUCCAGCUCCCUCCCUCUCGCUUUGGCCUGCACUUGACUGACAACAAAACAACUAUGCAACACCCUUCCCUGCAGCAGCUGCAACAGUGUGUCCUGGGCGCAUUUUGUGCCUCUCCAGCUGUGUGUAGCUUGUUUUAGGAAGGAAGCAAAACAGAGAUCUCAUCAUCUAUUCCUAGCCAAGGUCACAGCUGGGAGCUGUACCGGUUCUGUGGGCGACGCCCCAAGGGAAGCACUAAUGAUUGGAGCAAAGGGUCCUCACAGAAGCAAUCAGGUGGCCUUGGUCAUCGUGUGAAGUGAAGCUGAGAUGGAAGCAGGAAGAGCACGAAGUCUCCCAAAAGGACACCCACUUUUGACUGUGUCAGAUGUAAUCAAGAUUGCAAAGCUCUCAGUCAGCUGUUAGAGGACUGGGAACUGAGAGGGAAAGGUGACUUACUAGCAGAGCAGCCAACACAGAGGAUGAGGACAUUGGGAGAAGAGAUCUGUGGAAAGAUGCCACCAAAAUCCCACCUUGGCAGCCUGCAGACUCAAGGGACCCAGCUCAGGACUGUGAAGACCAUCUUGGGCACUGGUAUAGGAUACUCCAUUUUUCUGAAGAGGUGACCACACUUUGCUGAGCUGAGCUAGGUCCCACAGUGCUGAACUAAAGGGUUCCUGAGAUGCUGUAGAGCAUUAAAAGUCACAGUUAUGAUCAAGUGUAACACUGCAGGCUGCAAUCCUGGCACUCUGGAACCUGAGGCAGGAAAACAGCAAGUUUGAGCCCACUUGAGACUAUAUAGUGAGAUGCUUCACUGAGGAUAAAAGUUGUUAAGUCUCAUCUUUCAUGGAAGACAGAUUUUUUCUAAAAUUUAUUUUCUCUGAUUUCCUGGUGGUGGGGAUGGCGUAGGGGUGUGGGUAUGGGUGUGGGUGUGGAGUGAGGUAGGGGUGUGGAAGUAAGUGGGUAGAGUAAUCUUCUGGUUCAUUGCACCUGAUAGCUGUGGCACUUAGCUUGUGCUAGAUACCUCACAGAGACCUGCGAGUUCAUUCAGGAUGUUGUCUUUGGGUCACCAUAGUUGCAGAAGAGCAAACAAAGGCUCUUGGGAAGGUUGGACAACUGUGGUUUCGGUUAACAUCCUUGCCAGAUUUAAUAAAACAUCUUCAUCAAGAGUCAUGGGUUCCAGAUAAUCCACACUCCACAGCCUCUGCUUGCUCAGAAUAAUCUACGCCCAAUUAACACAUCUGAUUUCCCUGCUGGCUUCUUUCUGCCAUAGACCGGAAGACCCUGGGUUCUUCAGGGCUCUGGGUGGUGCACCUCUCUUUUGCUCCUUCCUUCCUUCUUCUUUGUGACACGAGGUCUCACAUAUUCUAGGCUAGCCUUGAACUUUGUGUGUAACCAAGGUUGGCCUUAAACUCCUGAUCCCUCUUGUCUCAUCUCAGUGCUAGGUUUACAGCUAUGUGUGCCAUCAUACACAACUUUUCUAUUAUUUUUUAACUUCUUAUGUGUUUGAGUGUUUGCCUGUAUGUAUUUCUGUGCACCACGUGUAAGUCUUAUGCUUGUGGGGAAUAGAAAAGGGUGUCAUACCCCCAGGAACUGG
rnacentral:lncRNA from 1 species